GGGUCGAUGGCGUAGUGGAUUGGCGCGUCUGUCUAACAUAAAGACAGAAGGUCCCCAGUUCGAAUCUGGGACGACUCA